GGGGAUAUAGCUCAGAGUGGGGUAGAGCAUUCAACUGCAGAUCGAGAGGUCCUCGGUUCAAACCCGGGAGACCCUUUCUUCA